rnacentral:ncRNA from 1 species
ACAGGGUUCUCUUGACGGGAUUAAUAGGGAAGACGGUGUGAAUCCGUCACAGCCCCCGCUGCCGUAUUUGAGUAUGUGUGCAAAGAAAUGCCACUGGUGAAAAACCGGGAAGGUUUUGUGCACAGAUGAUCCAUGAGCCGGAAGACCUGCCCUGUGAUGU